rnacentral:rRNA from 1 species
CAGGCCUAACACAUGCAAGUCGAGCGGUAUUUGUCUUUCGGGACAGAGAGAGCGGCGUACGGGUGCGGAACACGUGUGCAACCUGCCUUUAUCAGGGGGAUAGCCUUUCGAAAGGAAGAUUAAUACCCCAUAAUAUAAUGAAUGGCAUCAUUUAUUAUUGAAAACUCCGGUGGAUAGAGAUGGGCACGCGCAAGAUUAGAUAGUUGGUAGGGUAACGGCCUACCAAGUCAGUGAUCUUUAGGGGGCCUGAGAGGGUGAUCCCCCACACUGGUACUGAGACACGGACCAGACUCCUACGGGAGGCAGCAGUGAAGAAUAUUGGACAAUGGGUGAGAGCCUGAUCCAGCCAUCCCGCGUGAAGGACGACUGCCCUAUGGGUUGUAAACUUCUUUUGUAUAGGGAUAAACCUUUCCACGUGUGGAAAGCUGAAGGUACUAUACGAAUAAGCACCGGCUAACUCCGUGCCAGCAGCCGCGGUAAU